CAACAGCAUGGCGGAGAUGCAGGCCCGGUGGGCGACAAGAGUGUUUAAAGGUUUAAUAUCCCUCCCAGCAGAGGACGUCAUGGUGAAGGAAAUUGAAACGGAAACAAUGAACCAGAAGUUUGUGUGCUCUGAGCGGAACCCCCUGCAGGUGGACGUCAUACCAUAUAGGG